ensembl:lncRNA
CUCCGGGUGAGUCUGGUAUCCCGUCAGCACAGAGAACUAGUGUCUUAGGAGGAGCAAAGAGGCAGAAGUGUGGCGGGCCUUCGAGCCCCACUGGCCCCGUGGCCUGGCACUGCGACUGUCCUCCAUGACAACCCCAUGACUUUCUGGUGUGUGGGCUCCAGGUAGGACACGUGAUGUGGGUGGACAUUAUCCCAGGUGGUUGAGCCCUGCUUGACUCUCUGUUUCACCAGCCACGUCACCUGCAGGGGAGGCCACAGGUGGAGAUGGCAGAGCCUCUGAAAUGCUCCCCUGAAUGGUUGGGUCACUGCAUGAAGGACAGCGCCUGGCAGAACCAUCCGGAUGAGCGGCGGCCUCUGAGGGAGCAGGAGAUCAAUGUUCUCUGUGUUAAGUUCCUGGUAUCUUGGGCUUCUUCGUUUCUGCAGCCUGGCUUCCCCUAGUCCUGCCAUUAACUCUGUUAAAAAUGGCUUUGCCUGGCCAAAGUCCUUUCCAGCUCCGUGAGCCCGGGGCAUUCUAAAUUUCUUUUCCACGUAGAGAGUUUUUAUUAUUCUUUGGCUACAAAUUGAGAGGCAUCUCCAUGCUGCGCAAGCAACAGAAUGGUACUGAUGAGAGGGAGCAGAACCAAGGAACUGGAGGGACUUGCAAGGCCUGGUGGGUCAGUGCUAGCUGAAGGCAACCGAGUGUGAGGGUGGCUAGAGGGUCUUUGAGGGAGGAGCCCGCGGAGGUCUGGGCCUUACAGGGAAGCCUGGAGGCAGGUGGCAGGGGUCCGAGCAUGAAGACCAGUACGCAGCAGCUCUGUGCUAGGAUCCAGAAGAACGUCUCCUGGAGGGGCAGGUGUGUUCUAUACAUCAGAGAUCCAGUGUUCCAGGCCUGGCUGCUGCUUCUCUCUCAGGACAAGAGAAUGAGGGUAAAGACUAAAAGGCAUCGCGGUGUUUCCACUGGGCUAGAUGCUUUACGUGUGUUCUCUCCACUUGUUACCACCUCCCUGCCAAGCAGGGAGAUGAUCUCUAUUUCGCUCACUAGAGAAAUGCAGCUUCGAGAGAUUAAAUGUUUAAUGCAAGUGUGAUGCCAAGACCUCUACCCUUUCCUCCACACCAAGCUGCUUGGCCAAGGAGAGACUCCUGAACAAGGCUGGAGGUGGAGCUAUGCUGUCAACAAGAUUCCUGUGUUGAAGCCCCAAUCCCCAGUGUGACUGCACUUGGAGGCAGGGCCUUUAUACAGGUUCACAGCUGGAGAGGAAUUUUGCCUCAGGAAGAAUUAUACCCUGGAUCACACCAUCAUCUGAUUUAGACGAUAUUUAGGCGAGACUUUGGACUUUAGAGUUGAUAUUGGAAAAAGAUAAGGCUCAUUAACUCAUUGGGGUUAAUAGGCCUGUUGGGAUGAAAUGAAUGUAUUUUUCAUGCAAGAGGAGCACAAAUUUUGGUGGUUGCUCUUGCUGCAGUUUCCCAGGGAGGCUAGGCUGUCCUCCUGGCCUGCUGGUUAUGGUGCUCAGCUCUGUGUGGCUGCUAUGGACCCUUCAGUAAGUUUAUUUGGCAUGGGGAGCCCCAGCACAGUUGGCUGCAGGUUCUAAUAACACAUUCCUGUUGCAGCUUUUCUGUUAAGUGAGUAGGCUCCCAGCAUGGCUGGUUGUUAAGUUCAGGGGCUUACAAUUGCUGUAGGCCUCCAGCCUUCAAGGCUGUUGUCAGCUCAGGAUUACAGCUGAGUGGGGCCAGCCCUUAACAUGGGAGCACUCAAUUGUUUCAGGCUUUGGAAGGAGGGGUCAGUCCCCUAUGUGGCUGUUUGAGAAGCAAAAGUCUUCUGCAGCUGACAAACCCAAUGGCCCACAGGUCCACAUACACUGUCAAUACAGUCCUGCCCCAUGCGUGUACCCUGACCCCCUGAAGUAGACCCAGUUGCCCCGCUGCAGAGGCCCCCACACACUCCACCAAUGCACCAUACACUCCACCGGCUCCUUAUGCAGGCCCUGCCUUGCAGAGGUGGACCCACUCACCUGUCUGCAAAGGUUCCAGGCACCUUGCCUAUGUGGACCCACUAGCUGCUCAAGGGCUUACUGUUGGGUGGGGCCAGUCCCUAGGGAAGGCUGCCUGCCCUGGCUGAGCUGGAUUAAAUUGGUGCUCUAGUGAGUAGGGCAGAUCCUGGGCUAAUAGGCCAGAGGAAGAACUCCAAAGGCAUCUGCCAGUGUCUAUGUCAGCAUGCUUGGACUAGGUCACAACAGUGGCUGCCGCCAAUGUUUCAGUCCCUGGAGAGGUCUCACCUCUCACCGAGAUGCAACCAUAGCCUAUCAGCAGAUGCUAUCAGUGCCCCCAUGGCCCACCCUGGUGGUUUCCAACAUGCUGAUGGAUUCCUGUGACUUUCAGCCUGAGGGCGGAUGCGGAGUGGAGUCCACACCCCCUCUUCCCUCCCAUACAGCAGCGAGGGAUGGUGGGUCAUCAAGCAGAGACUAAUAUUACAUUGGCUAUCCCUUCAAACAAAAGUAGAAAAGACGUGUCAAGUGCUCGCUUAAAUAUCAGAAGAAAUAAUCACGGAGGCACUGUUCAGCCCCAGGUCACUCACAUGGGAAGCUUCAGUAUCCUGACCAAGACCGAGACCUAAGAAGGCUGGCCUUCAAUGCUGAAACAUGUGGGAUGUGGCUCAGGCAACAUCAACCGGAUGAGUUUGGACCUGGGUGAAGAACCAACACCUUAGCUUAAGUGAGAGUAGAGUCGGCUGAGCUGCCGUUGGCUCUUCAGUGAGUGGGCCAGCGAGGGAACAUGUGAGUGGUGCAUGUCCACUGGGGCUUCCAGGGCUGUCUUUCUCAAAUUUAGAUAUUGUACAAAUCCCUUUCAAAGAGAAAAAUAUCUUUGUCCCUGAAAGCAUGGCGGUUGCGUUACCACUGUCAUUGAACUUAGUGAGAGCACUUCCACUGCUGUGUAGAGUGACAAGACCAAGGAAAAGGUUUCAGGCGUCCAAGGGCGGCAGACGGUAGGAGGGUAGGGAUCGGGGGAAACUAAUGGAGCGAGGUUUGUUUGUGCAGGUCCAUCUCAGGGCCAACUUUCUGUCUUCUUCACAACUGUGAAACCUCCCGG